rnacentral:rRNA from 1 species
AAAUUGAAGAGUUUGAUCAUGGCUCAGAUUGAACGCUGGCGGCAGGCCUAACACAUGCAAGUCGAACGGUAACAGGAAACAGCUUGCUGUUUUCGCAAGACCAAAGAGGGGGACCUUCGGGCCUCUUGCCAUCGGAUGUGCCCAGAUGGGAUUAGCUUGUUGGUGGGGUAACUUUUUUUUUUCGUCGCAAGACCAAAGAGGGGGACCUUCGGGCCUCUUGCCAUCGGAUGUGCCCAGAUGGGAUUAGCUAGUAGGUGGGGUAACGGCUCACCUAGGCGACGAUCCCUAGCUGGUCUGAGAGGAUG